rnacentral:rRNA from 1 species
CGUAGGUGGCAAGCGUUAUCCGGAUUUACGUGGGCGUAAAGGGUGUGCAGGCGGGCGUGCAAGUGGUGUAUGAAAUCUCCCGGCUUAACCGGGGAGGGGUUAUGCCAGACUGCACGUCUAGAGGACGAGAGAGGGGGGUGGAAUUCCGGGUGUAGUGGUGAAAUGCGUAGAGAUCCGGAGGAACCCCAGAGGCGAAGGCGGUCCCCUGGCUCGUACCUGACGCUCAGCCACGAAAGCAUGGGGAGCGAACGGGAUUAGAAACCCCGGUAGUCCAUGCCGUAAACGAUGCAAACUAGGCGCUGACGGUCUCAACCCCGCCGGUGCCGCAGCUAACGCGAUAAGUUUGCCGCCUGGGGAGUACGGUCGCAAGGCUA